rnacentral:rRNA from 1 species
ACUCAAAUGAAUUGACGGGGAUCCGCACAAGUGGUGGAGCAUGUGGUUUAAUUCGAUAGUAAGCGAGGCACCUCACCAGGGUUUGAAAUCUAGCUGGAGAUCUCAGAAAUGAGAAGUCCUUCGAGGCCGCUAGACCAGGUGCUGCAUGGUUGUCGUCAGCUCGUGUCGUAAGAUGUUCCGUUCAGUCGGGAAACGAGCGCAACCCCUGUAAAGUGUUAGAUAUGUCACUUUAGACUGCCCAGCCAAUUGUUCGCGAAGCAAUUCGUGGAUAGCUGGCUGGGAGGAAGGCGGGGAUGACGUCAAAUCAGCAUGGCCCUCUGACACCCUGGGCGACACACGUGCUACAAUGGUCGGGUAUAAAGGGUUGCCAAACCGCGAGGUGGAGCCAAUCCCAAAAAACCGAUCUCAGUUCGGAUUGAAGGCUGCAACUCGCCUUCAUGAAGCUGGAAUCACUAGUAAUCGUUGAUCAGCCACGCAACGGUGAAUGCGUUCUCGGAUCUUGUACACACCGCCCGU